GCAGCCUCGUUAGACCCGGCGCGGCCGCGGCCCGGCGCCGCCCUGCUCUCCCCCACGUGCGCCCCUCCCAGCGCCCAGCCGCCGCCGAUCGUCGACCGCAGGGUGGCCCCCGCGCAGACAGAUUGGGGGCGCUGGCAGAGGGGUGCGAGGGGCGGCCAGAACCCCGGCCUGGGAUCAAAUAGGAGCUGGACUCCGGACCACGCUGCGAGAUCUCGGGGACUUAGGACUUCGCUUCGGGGAACCUCAACUUUCUCAUCGGUAAAAUGGGAACCUCCUACGACCUCACUGGGCUAUGUACGACUACACAGAUGAUCACAAAAAAACUGACGUCUUCGAAGAUUACUCUGUAUUGAGCUCUUUACCUGCCUGGGCCCGGACGUGGGAAGUACCGGGCUUUUAGCAAGCUUCCAUAAAUGAUGGGGAAACUGAGGGACAGAGCCAUUUCCCAAGAUUGCACAGAAGAACCAGAAUUCAAUCCAGUCUCUUACUGCCUGGCCCUUGUUCUUCCACCACAGUCUGCCCCCAGACAGUCUAAUUUGUCCAGAAUCAGAACUGUCUUGCAUCUAUGCCUGGACCAUGGCAGCAGCUCCAGGGACAUCGGCCUCCUUGAACCACCCGGGCACACCAGGGAUCCCCAGGAAGGUGUUGUGCUUCUCGCUGUCUCUGUCCUGGCUCUGCUGCUGGGACCAGAGCUGUCUCCUGGCCACACUCCCAAACUAACAGUAAUGGAAUGGAAACAUUGCUGCAAGCAGAAGUAACAAAAGAAGGGCUCUGCAGGACUCCCUGCACAUGGCUAAAAAAGAAGCAUUCGGAUCAAUGAACACCUCCAGGGACAUCCCUGGUGGCACAGUGGUUAAGAAUCGACUUGCCAGUGCAGGGGACAUGGGUUCAAUCCCUGGUCCGGGAAGAUCCCACAUGCCGUGGAGCAACUAAGCCCAUGUGCCACAACUACUGGGCCCAUGCGCCACAGCUACUGAAGCCUGCGUGCCUAGAGCCCAUGCUUUGCAACAAGAGAAGCCACUGCAAUGAGAAGCUUGAGCACCGCAACAAAGAGUAGCCCCUGCUCGCCGCAACUAGAGAAGCCCACGCGCUGCAAUGAACACCAAACACAGCCAAAAACAAUA